CUGGCUUGCCACGUCUCUGUGAACAGGUCUGCCCUUACUCUGAUGUUCCUUCCUCUAUUUAUAUAAACCUUUUCC